CCUACGGGUGGCUGCAGUGGGGAAUAUUGGACAAUGGGCGAAAGCCUGAUCCAGCCAUGCCGCGUGUGUGAAGAAGGCCUUCGGGUUGUAAAGCACUUUCAGUGGGGAAGAAAGCCUUGGGGCUAAUACCCUCGAGGAAGGACAUCACCCACAGAAGAAGCACCGGCUAACUCCGUGCCAGCAGCCGCGGUAAUACGGAGGGUGCGAGCGUUAAUCGGAAUUACUGGGCGUAAAGCGCGCGUAGGCGGUCUGAUAAGCCGGUUGUGAAAGCCCCGGGCUCAACCUGGGAACGGCAUCCGGAACUGUCAGGCUAGAGUGCAGGAGAGGAAGGUAGAAUUCCCGGUGUAGCAGUGAAAUGCGUAGAGAUCGGGAGGAAUGCCAGUGGCGAAGGCGGCCUUCUGGACUGACACUGACGCUGAGGUGCGAAAGCGUGGGUAGCAAACGGGAUUAGAUACCCGAGUAGUC
rnacentral:rRNA from 1 species